UAAACCAAAGCCUGUGUUUUUUGUACAGCCUAAAAUGGAUUAAUUUGUUUUAAAACUAUGACUUUUUAAGUAGAAAAACACCCUAAUGACUAUUUAACUUUUUAAGUUUACAAGACACUUUAAUGUGCUUUAUAAUAAUAAUAAUCAUAAUCACAAUAAUAUUUUCU